UAGAGAAAAAGAGGGUGAAGACAGCUCUCUUGGGUAUCCCACUCCCAUCACACGCGAAAAAGUAGAGAGGAAUAAGAAGGAACAAAGGCUGGGAGCCGAGGACAGACAAUGCCAAGUGGAAAAAAGGAAUGUUUCUUGAAAACACAAGAAUAAUUGAACCAGCCUCCCCCCAAGAAGGCAUAUUUGCAGCCCUCCAGGCCUUCAAAGAUGUGAAGCCAGAUCAGAAUGGAAGGAAGAAUAUUUGUCACCAAACUCCUUUGUAAGACAAAGCAGCAGCUUGCUAAGUCACUGCCUGUAACUUUGCACAAUAGCCAUACACUGGUAAAUAAUAGGUAAACACACACAGGCUGAGUAAAGGUAGCCAUUAAUUGGUAGUAAAGGAUACAAACAUACAGUAUCCACAGUAGCUUCCACAUGGUUCCCUUUAUGUGUGGUCUAAGAGCACAUAUAUUGCAGGUGAGUGAAACCCAGAGUCCAGACCUAAGCUGCCUCAUGCAGUGAUGCAGGACUACUGCUGAUGUUGCUAAACCAGACAAAACCCUAGAUGCGCUCCUUUCCCCACCUUUCAGGCGUUACCUAGUGAAGCUCAGCAGUGGAGCCUUGCUCCAGCUCCAGCCAGACCAUACUGCUUCCAGGGCCAGCCGCUUUUUCAAUGUGGAGCCUGUAACAGCAAGUACUGACAUCUCUACCUGAUGUGUGCUCAACUGGGAGCUCUGGUGAAGCACAAUUCAUGUUCCCCAGUGGCUCCUCAGUCUGGGCUCAAGCUGAGCUUCUGAGUUCCAGCCAGCCCAGCACUGCCUCUGCCCAGGGCUCCUUUGGAGCUUGGACACCUCUGCUCCAUGGUACUCCAGGUUUCAGGAAAAAUUAGCAAGAUUUACAUUAGUCCCAACAUUCUGUCCAAGCUAAUAAACCUUCCCUGAGCCUGAAGAGCUCAGUUCUGAGAGCAGCAUGGUUUUACAGCUGCCAGCAAUAAGCCAGCUAAUGAGCCACUCUGGACCUGCAGACACUCUAGGUGUGAGCACACCUCUCCCAGCACAUUCCCUCAUAGCCCAGGUAAGCUCAGCCCCUCUCCCUUGAUACCGGAGCGCAACACACCGAGCAUCUGGCUGGCAAACACCUCUCCAGCUCCUGCUACCUUGUGGCUGCUCCCAGGAGCAAAAUCUUUCUUUAAAACCUCCCCUUUACACACCUACCAGUCUGCCCAAUUUUAGCAAAGACAACUGAGCCUUGCAUGAUUGGAAUAGUACUCCAGUAAAACAAGACAUAGUUACAGUUUAAGCACAUGGAAAUCCUAGAGGCUCUUUUUGUUUAGUUAAGUGACAUUUUAAUUAUGCAGAAGAUGUUAAAGGCAGCAUAGGCCUCACUGUGAAUUAGGUCUUUUCUUCUUUUGACAAUGAUGACAUUUUAUUUCCCACAGAUGUAAUACAUACUCCUUGCAGACAUGAAAUGGUUUAUAAACAGUUAACAAAGUCAAAACUAAAAAUGCAUCAGGAUAUAGUUAAACAACAAUUAAAAAAAACACCACCACCCCACACCUUUAAGCAUGCACUGUCAAAAUGGAAGAAAAGCACCAAGAAACCUUAUCUUGAGAGACUAUUCCUUUCAGGCCUAUCAGUGUAAAGACUGGAGCUCAAGACACGCAACUACUACAAUUUCAGUCCUUAAGGACCCAAAAAAACACUUCUUGAAAUGUAAGAUGAUGACUAAUAGCUAUCAGACAGCUACCACUAAUUAUUUAAAUCAUGUACUGAAAGCUGCAUGGAGACAACUGAAAAAUGCCUGCAAUGUAAACAUUUCAGCAUUGAUAUAAAAAACAGUAAGUAGUAAAUAAAAGACACCCCUUCAAAACCUGAAAACCCUUGAAAAACCACCCACAUGUAUAUGUAUUUCUUCUUAUGCAUCUAUCUAUCUACAGAUGCUUCAAAGUUCUCAAAGUCUACAAGAAUCUUUUGCAAUCAACUGUAAUAUCACUUGUUGGCCACUAUGAAUAGCUGUAAUGAAUCUCAGACAAGCAAAUUUCAUUAACUUUAGGGUACUGUUACAAGGUGUAUAUAUAUUGGCACGUAAUGUCCAUGUCAUCUUCAAAAUUGUCAUCUUCAAAAUAAAUAAAAAGUAAACAAACUCUGAGGUAAGGGUAGUC